GGUCAGUCUGCAUUUCACUGUGAGGUCUACACCUGUUGGUUAAGGGCUGGUCAGUCAGCAUUUCACUGUGAGGUCUACACCUGUUGGUUAAGGGCUGGUCAGUCAGCAUUUCACUGUGAGGUCUACACCUGUUGGUUAAGGGCUGGUCAGUCAGCAUUUCACUGUGAGGUCUACACCUGUUUGUUAAGGGCUGGUCAGUCUGCAUUUCACUGUGAGGUCUACACCUGUUGGUUAAGGGCUGGUCAGUCAGCAUUUCACUGUGAGGUCUACACCUGUUGGUUAAGGGCUGGUCAGUCAGCAUUUCACUGUGAGGUCUACACCUGUUUGUUAAGGGCUGGUCAGUCAGCAUUUCACUGUGAGGUCUACACCUGUUGGUUAAGGGCUGGUCAGUCAGCAUUUCACUGUGAGGUCUACACCUGUUGGUUAAGGGCUGGUCAGUCAGCAUUUCACUGUGAGGUCUACACCUGUUGGUUAAGGGCUGGUCAGUCAGCAUUUCACUGUGAGGUCUACACCUGUUGGUUAAGGGCUGGUCAGUCAGCAUUUCACUGUGAGGUCUACACCUGUUGGUUAAGGGCUGGUCAGUCAGCAUUUCACUGUGAGGUCUACACCUGUUGGUUAAGGGCUGGUCAGUC